AAAAAAAAGUGGAAUGAAAGUUCCACAGCCCCCUUCCUUGAACAAAAUCUUGAAUGAGUGAGUGGAGUAGAGAGCUGCAUUCUCAUUUUCUGGAACUACUGGUUCCACAAGACCUGAAACAUUGUUGCAAAAGAAUAUUGGUUGAUUGAAUUUUUCUCCAUGAACAUAAAGCAGGGGCAUAUCAAAAGCAGUGAAGUUUCCAACAGGUUUAUUUGCAACAAAAACCAUACGUACAUUUGACAAGUAGAUUAUUCCCUUCGCUUUAACAUGACCUCCCUGACUUCCAGGGAUCUUGUCAAUCUCGAACUCGACGCCAUCUCUAGUCAAAACAAAGAUCUCGUUGACGAAUGGUACCGGCAUCCCAUUUUGGAACAGUUGAGGGUUCAAAGCCAUCUCUUUUCUUGCUCUUGGUGCGAUUUAUUUCC
rnacentral:misc_RNA from 1 species